rnacentral:rRNA from 1 species
AUACGGAGGAUCCGAGCGUUAUCCGGAUUUAUUGGGUUUAAAGGGUGCGCAGGCGGGAGAUUAAGUCGGCGGUGAAAUUUUUGAGCUCAACUGUAAAAGUGCCUUCGAAACUGGUUUCCUUGUGUGUAGAAGAAGUAGGCGGAAUUUGUGGGGUGGUGGGGUAAUGCAUAGAUAUCACGAGGAACUCCGAUUGCGCAGGCAGCUUACUAAACUACUACUGACGCUCAGGCACGAAGGCGUGGGGAUCAAACAGGAUUAGAUACCCUGGUAGUCCACGCAGUAAACGAUGAUUACUAGCUGUUUGCAAUACAAUGUAAGCGGCUGAGCGAAAGCGUUAAGUAAUCCACCUGGGGAGUACGUUCGCAAGAAUGAAACUCAAAGGAAUUGACGGGG